rnacentral:rRNA from 1 species
UUCUAUUAGAAAUAAUUAAUAGUAAAAUCUGCUCAAUGAAUAUUAAAUAGCCGCAAUUUUCUGUGCUAAGGUAGCAUAAUCAUUUGUCUUUUAAUUGAAGACUAGAACAAAAGAUUUAACAUUUUAAUUAAUUUCUUUUUUAAAAAAAUUAAAAAUUUUUCCAAAUGUAAAAAAACAUUUAUAAAAUAGGAAGACGACAAGACCCUAUUGAACUUAACUUUAGUUUAACUGGGGCAGUUAAUUAAUUAUAAUUUUAAUAACAUUUCAAAAAUAAAUUGAUCCAAUAAAAUUGAUUAUAUGAUCAAGUUACCAUAGGGAUAACAGCGUUAUAAUAAUUUAAAGUUCUUAUUUAAGUUAAUUUUUGCGACCUCGAUGUUGAAUUAUUACCUAUUAGAUGCAAUAAUUUAAUAAAGGAAGUCUGUUCGACUUUUUAAUAAUAACA